rnacentral:rRNA from 1 species
UCGGGAAUUUUGGGCAAUGGGCGAAAGCCUGACCCAGCAACGCCGCGUGAGGGAUGAAGUAUUUCGGUAUGUAAACCUCGAAAGAAUGGGAAGAAUAAAUGACGGUACCAUUUAUAAGCUCCGGCUAACUACGUGCCAGCAGCCGCGGUAAUACGUAGGGAGCAAGCGUUGUUCGGAUUUACUGGGCGUAAAGGGCGCGUAGGCGGCGCGGUAAGUCACUUGUGAAAUCUCUGAGCUUAACUCAGAACGGCCAAGUGAUACUGCUGUGCUAGAGGGCGGGAGAGGCAACCGGAAUUCUUGCUGUAGCGGUGAAAUGCGUAGAUAUCAAGAGGAACACCUGAGGCGAAGGCGGGUUGCUGGGCCGACACUGACGCUGAUGCGCGAAAGCCAGGGGAGCAAACG